rnacentral:rRNA from 1 species
CCUACGGGAGGCAGCAGUGAGGAAUAUUGGUCAAUGGACGAGAGUCUGAACCAGCCAAGUAGCGUGAAGGAUGACUGCCCUAUGGGUUGUAAACUUCUUUUAUAUGGGAAUAAAAUGUUCCACGUGUGGGAUUUUGUAUGUACCAUAUGAAUAAGGAUCGGCUAACUCCGUGCCAGCAGCCGCGGUAAUACGGAGGAUCCGAGCGUUAUCCGGAUUUAUUGGGUUUAAAGGGAGCGUAGGUGGAUUGUUAAGUCAGUUGUGAAAGUUUGCGGCUCAACCGUAAAAUUGCAGUUGAAACUGGCAGUCUUGAGUACAGUAGAGGUGAGCGGAAUGCGUGGUGUAGCGGUGAAAUGCUUAGAUAUCACGAAGAACUCCGAUUGCGAAGGCAGUUCACUGGACUGCAACUGACACUGAGGCUCGAAAGUGUGGGUAUCAAACAGGAUUAGAUACCCUUGUAGUC